rnacentral:lncRNA from 1 species
AAUUAGGGACAGCCUCUAGGCGCACUGUAGAGUCGAAUUCAGACCCCGAAACAAGUAAGGACCUCUCACCCUAUUUCCUAUCACGGUAUUAAAGCUAAAUAAAUAAUUAAACUGUAUUAUGUGACUUUAUAGAUGUAUAAUUCAUUAAGGUUGCCAAUGGAGCCCGAGUCUGAUACAGUGUUGGUCUGUUAUUGUUUGAUCUAAUUUCCAGUAUUAAAUGCAGCAUGAUGUUUGAUGUAAUUAUGUUAUGGUCUCAUAUGCAUGAACUAUGGU